CGAAAGCCUGACGGAGCAACGCCGCGUGAGGGAUGAAGGCCUCUGGGCUGUAAACCUCUUUUAUCAAGGAAGAAGAUCUGACGGUACUUGAGGAAUAAGCCACGGCUAAUUCCGUGCCAGCAGCCGCGGUAAUACGGGAGUGGCAAGCGUUAUCCGGAAUUAUUGGGCGUAAAGCGUCCGCAGGCGGCCUUGUAAGUCUGUUGUCAAAGCGUGGAGCUCAACUCCAUUUCGGCAAUGGAAACUGCAAGGCUAGAGUGUGGUAGGGGCAGAGGGAAUUCCCGGUGUAGCGGUGAAAUGCGUAGAUAUCGGGAAGAACACCAGUGGCGAAGGCGCUCUGCUGGGCCAUAACUG
rnacentral:rRNA from 1 species